UUGAGACUGAGGACGAAUAUCUAUUUCCAGGAAAAACGAGGAGACAGAGAGGUGGAGCAACUCUUCCGAUCUCUUGAACUAAUAACAGAGAUAAAGGAGGGGCAGAUUGAGAAGAUAGUCAACUCCUCAGAUGACAAUCUCCCACGCACAAUUGCAGACAUUCAAGUGGCUCUCCACAUGUUAGAAGAUACCAUUGACACUGAGAAGAAAUUUAACUCGGAGGAGCUUCUGG